AGAUUGAACGCUGGCGGCAGGCCUAACACAUGCAAGUCGAGCGGCAGCACGGGUACUUGUACCUGGUGGCGAGCGGCGGACGGGUGAGUAAUGCCUAGGAAUCUGCCUGGUAGUGGGGGGAUAACGCUCGGAAACGGACGCUAAUACCGCAUACGUCCUACGGGAGAAAGCAGGGGACCUUCGGGCCUUGCGCUAUCAGAUGAGCCUAGGUCGGAUUAGCUAGUUGGUGAGGUAAUGGCUCACCAAGGCGACGAUCCGUAACUGGUCUGAGAGGAUGAUCAGUCACACUGGAACUGAGACACGGUCCAGACUCCUACGGGAGGCAGCAGUGGGGAAUAGUUGGACAAGUGGGACGAAAGCCUGAUCCAGCCAUGCCGCGUGUGUGAAGAAGGUCUUCGGAUUGUAAGCUACGUUUAAGUGGAGGAAGGCAAGUAAAUUAAUACUUUGCUUGUUUGACGUCUAACCGACUAAGAAGUAAGACCACCGGACUUAACGUCUAGUCG
rnacentral:rRNA from 1 species